UUGUUCCUACAGGAGGCAGCAGGGGGGGAUAUUGCACAAUGGGGGAAACCCUGAUGCAGCGACGCCGCGUGGACGAAGAAGUAUUUCGGUAUGUAAAGUCCUAUCAGCAAGGAAGAAGAAAUGACGGUACCUGACUAAGAAGCCCCGGCUAACUACGUGCCAGCAGCCGCGGUAAUACGUAGGGGGCAAGUGUUAUCCGGAUUUACUGGGUGUAAAGGGAGCGUAGGUGGCAUGGUAAGCCAGAAGUGAAAACCCAGGGCUCAACUCUGGGGAUUGCUUUUGGAACUAUGAAGCUAGAGUGCUGG
rnacentral:rRNA from 1 species